ANUACUAUNNGGUAGGUUAACNCUUUCAACUACNGGAUCUCUUGGUUCUGGCAUCGAUGAAGAACGCAGCGAAACGCGAUAAGUAAUGUGAAUUGCAGAAUUCAGUGAAUCAUCGAAUCUUUGAACGCACCUUGCGCUCCUUGGUAUUCCGAGGAGCAUGCCUGUUUGAGUGUCAUUAAAUUCUCAACCCCUUCAACUUUGUUGAUGGAGGGGCUUGGACUUGGAGUGUGCCGGCGUGAGUCGACUCCUCUUUAAAUGCAUUAGCAGAAAUCCCCCUUUCUUGCAGUUGGUGUGAUAAUUAUCUACGCCAGAAGCUUAUGAAGGAAUGUUUCCGCUUCAAAUCGUCUUAGGACGACUUUGAAUACAUUUUUGACCUCAAAUCAGGUAGGACUACCCGCUGAACUUAAGCAUAUCAAUAAGCGGAGGA
rnacentral:rRNA from 1 species